rnacentral:lncRNA from 1 species
CUCUCCGUCCUAAAUUAUGAUAUUUUAUGAUGAAUUAAGAAACAUAAUCAAUAAUAUAUAAAAAAUAAAAAGUAUAUAUUAUUUUAUAAUAUUAUCCUUCAUUUAUUAUAAAUGAAAGAUAAAUUUAAAGAAUUGAGAAAAGGAAUAGUAAUACCUAUUUCUUGGAUUUAAUUGGCAAUUCAUUGAAAAAGUAUUCAGACGUUUUCAAAUCUCAACAACUGUAUUUUAAUAUUUUUUAAUUUUAUUUUUAAUUUUUUCCUAUGACUUAUUAUCUUAGUUAACAUGACAACAGAGGGAGAAAGUAUUCAGAAGACAC